AUGAACUUAGUGGCUUUUCUCCAGAUAACAAAAGUCUCAAUUUUAUUUUAUUUUUUUCAUUAUAAAGAAAAACGACAAAGGAAAACUGAAGCCAAAAGACAGUGCAUGAAAACAGGGAGAUUCCCAGUAAAAUACAGCCCUGUAAAACAGAUCACUGGUAAAUGGACUGGUACUUCCCAUGUUCAGACGGCGUCUUUUGUAUUAUGGGCACUUCAGGAAACAAGCAGCGAGUGAAUAAUACACCUGAAUGGUUCUCCAGAAACUCAGAAUCUUAUCUGAGUAUGUCAAAUGAUACGCUAGCUGUUUUUGUUGUUGGUUGUGAGCUAACCAGUUGUUGCUGAUCCUUACCUUCUCCAAAUUCUUUUGAUGAAAAUAUACUCCAACAAAGGUCUUUCUGACAUUGCUUCAGACUGGUUUCAUUCCAUGUUUAAUUUCAGCAUUCAUAAAUCAAAUUAUGUCUUGCUGUAUAAUCAGGUACCUCAGGGGCUAGGCCCAAUAACUGUUUAGAUUUAUAUAUUUUACCAAGCUUAUAUCACACACAGAUUGAGAGCUGAAUUCCAUUCUCCAUUACAAAUGUGUAUUUGAAGUUAGUCUAGUGAGGUUAGCAGAGUCACAGUGAUGUAAACGAGGGGAGAAUCAAGCCCAUGAUCUGUCGAACCAUAUAUAUUUAGAUGGCAUGCAGACCUUUUUCUGCACUUAAAAAAAUAUUUUAUGGUAUCUUUCCAAUGUGUCUGUUUGGCUGAUUUACAGUACUGGAAAGCCAGGGAAUUUCUAAAACUGAAUCCAUAUAAGACAAAAUUCCUUUGAUUGGACCUUAUCCCCAGUCCGUCAACACUCUUCCAUCACUUUUAAAGUUGGCAGUUCUCAGAUAGCGUCAGUCCCAAGGGUGGAAACCUUGGGUUUAUGUUUGACUUGAUGCUGUCUCUUCUGAACCAUGUAAAUAUAAAUAUUAAACUGUCAUGUUUAACUCAGAAAUAUACCAAACCUUAAACCAGUAGUAGUUGAGGAUACUCAAAUAUUAGUGCAUAUUGGAAAAAUGCAAGAGAGGAUGUUUGUACACAUGUGCAUGCUUAUAUAUGUCUGGACAACUAUAAUUGCCUUCUAAUAAGAUAAAUUCUUUAGCAGCUUCAGCAUGUACCAAAUUAUGUCAUGCAUCUUCUUGACAUAGCAAAACUUGAUAUGCUCAUUUCCCUGAACUCAUAUUAUCUAUCCAUAAAAUGUCAUAUUGAUUUUU
rnacentral:lncRNA from 1 species